UACGUAGGUGGCAAGCGUUGUCCGGAAUUAUUGGGCGUAAAGCGCGCGCAGGCGGUCUCUUAAGUCUGAUGUGAAAUCCCGUGGCUUAACCACGGGCGGUCAUUGGAAACUGGGGGACUUGAGUGCAGAAGAGAAGAGCGGAAUUCCACGUGUAGCGGUGAAAUGCGUAGAGAUGUGGAGGAACACCAGUGGCGAAGGCGGCUCUGUGGUCUGUAACUGACGCUGAGGCGCGAAAGCGUGGGGAGCAAACAGG
rnacentral:rRNA from 1 species